AAAAAGGGCCGGGCGUGGGCUUUAGUAGUCAGCCGCACCUUGUGUUUUAAGAAAACCAGGUGGAAUUAACAAAUGAAACUUGGUCAAGAUGUUAAGGGAG